GUUAUAGGGACAAGUGAAUAAGUGCACAUGGUGGAUGCCUUGGCGAUUACAGGCGAUGAAGGACGUAGUAGCUUGCGAUAAGCUGCGGGGA
rnacentral:rRNA from 1 species